rnacentral:rRNA from 1 species
GCUUAUGCGUUCGUUGGGUAGGGGAGCGUUCUGUAAGCCUGUGAAGGUGGCCUGUGAGGGUUGCUGGAGGUAUCAGAAGUGCGAAUGCUGACAUAAGUAACGAUAAAGCGGGUGAAAAGCCCGCUCGCCGGAAGACCAAGGGUUCCUGUCCAACGUUAAUCGGGGCAGGGUGAGUCGACCCCUAAGGCGAGGCCGAAAGGCGUAGUCGAUGGGAAACGGGUUAAUAUUCCCGUACUUGGUGUUACUGCGAAGGGGGGACGGAGAAGGCUAUGUUGGCCGGGCGACGGUUGUCCCGGUUUAAGCGUGUAGGUGUGUGUUCCAGGUAAAUCCGGUUCACUUUAACACUGAGGCGUGAUGACGAGGCACUACGGUGCUGAAGCAACAAAUGCCCUGCUUCCAGGAAAAGCCUCUAAGCAUCAGGUAACAUCAAAUCGUACCCCAAACCGACACAGGUGGUCAGGUAGAGAAUACCAAGGCGCUUGAGAGAACUCGGGUGAAGGAACUAGGCAAAAUGGUGCCGUAACU